GGUACUCAGGAAGGUCCUGACCUAAUAGACUUCCCAGCUGCGGGGUGUCUCAUCCAUCCCUCAUUGAAGAUGGUUUGUCAGCCAGAGAGACACAGGGCAGGGAGAUCUGGAGCCUUCAAUAAAUCCUGCAGUGAGCGAAAACAAAGAAUCACUUCUCAACGAAAAAACGGCACAUCACAAAGCUAUUUCAUGGAUUUCUGGCACACACCACCAACCAGUGUAUCUGCUUCCACAUAACUAGGAAAGAGGUCGGGCCAGUCAAGUCUAAAGGAAGGAACUUGUGCUUGAAAUCAGUGGAAGUGGACGAG